AGCUUACUGAUCAGAGCAUUGGUACGUAAAGCCAAAGAUCCCGGGUUCGAUUCCCGG
rnacentral:tRNA from 1 species